rnacentral:tRNA from 1 species
UCCCUGAUGGUUCACUGGUUAAAACCCUGCACUUCCAAAGCAGAGGGCAUGGGUUCAAUCCCUGAUAGGGAA